GCGGAGGUGGCGGAAUUGGCAGACGCGCUGGAUUUAGGUUCCAGUGGGGAAACCCGUGCGGGUUCAAGUCCCGCCCUCCGCACCA
rnacentral:tRNA from 1 species